UGGGGAAUAUUGCACAAUGGAGGGAACUCUGAUGCAGCGACGCCGCGUGAACGAAGAAGGCUUUCGAGUCGUAAAGUUCUUUUAUAUGGGAAGAUAAUGACGGUACCUUAAGAAAAAGCCCCGGCUAACUACGUGCCAGCAGCCGCGGUAAUACGUAGGGGGCUAGCGUUGUCCGGAAUCACUGGGCGUAAAGGGUUCGCAGGCGGAAAUGCAAGUCAGGUGUAAAAGGCAGUAGCUUAACUACUGUAAGCAUUUGAAACUGCAUAUCUUGAGAAGAGUAGAGGUAAGUGGAAUUUUUAGUGUAGCGGUGAAAUGCGUAGAUAUUAAAAAGAAUACCGGUGGCGAAGGCGACUUACUGGGCUCAUUCUGACGCUGAGGAACGAAAGCGUGGGUAGCAAACAGG
rnacentral:rRNA from 1 species